UAAAUAAAUAUUAUUAGUAUAAUUAUCAUACAUCAUCUGUACUCUACACCACUCCUAUUUGUGAUGGGAGUGUCCAGAAGUGACUCUAUUUUUAAAGACCUUGUAAUGACUGAUCAGCCUCACAGCUGGUGGUGCAAUAGGGUCCCUUUAUCUCCCUGAGGUCAGACCUGUCAGGGUUGGCUGUGUAUCCUGGUGGGGGACAGGAAGCUCCUGGCUGGUGUUCCCGGCAGCGUUGGAGCUGUGGCAGGUCAAGGCUGUCAGACCAGCAGAGAAGCCCCUGACUGCAGCCCGCAGACGGAGCCCACAUGGAGGGGGCGGGCACUCAGUCCACAUGGAGGGGGCCGGCCCUCCGCCCACAUGGAGGGGGCGGGCACUCAGUCCACAUGGAGGGGGCCGGCACUCCGCCCACAUGGAGGGGGCGGAUACUCAUGCUGCGUUCGAGUAUUCUCUGCGAACCGACUCGGAUCUCGGAUCUGACGCCACGCCCGUCCACAUCGAGGGGGCGGCCACUCAGUUCACAUUGAGGACUGGUCAAACAGCAUGUGCAGCAUCUGAUCCCGUUUCUGACCUGAAAUUAGCUGAAAUGUACCUGAAAUUACCUGAAAUUAGAGUGUGCCCGCCCGAGCUAGUGAUGCCUAAAACAUGCAAAGACACGUCAGUGUAAUUGUGAAUGGCGAGAGCCCUGAAAUACAGCUGGACAGCAGCGGUCUACAUCACUGCCCCUUCUGCAGAUACAAAGGGUCAAAAUGUGAUAUCGACCAUCACAUUAAAUGCCAUGCCUCGGUUAAAUACAGAGGUACAUUUUCUUAUUUUUUUAUUAUUAUUAUUUAUAUUAUUAUUGUUAUUAUAUAUUUGUAUGUAUGUAAUGUAUGCCGUUUACUCACCAAGGUCUGCAGAGGAGCUUUCAGGAAGCAGGAAGAGAAGACGGGAGGAAAAAAAAGCUACAGACAAAACUGAAGACCAGGAACUGGAACCUGGGAACCUGGAAGAUUAUGUUGUCCUGAAGGACACAAUUCAGGCAGCAGCAUGGUGCCAGUUACAGUCCUUCAAGGACAGCGUUUCUCUCCCAGAGGUCAUUGGGAUGGAAGGUUGGGAGCAGAUGGCAGCAUCAACACAGCGCAAAUCCCAUGACGGCGGGGAUGAGGAAGAAACGUGGAAACCAUUCCAAUUCUCAUUCAGAUUACAUACUGACUAUGAACUGUUCUGUGUGGAGAGGAUGGACAGGAGAAACCUGAAGGUGUUUGCCUCUUUUGAGUCAAACACCUCUCCCCCUCCCCGUCCCCCCUCCCCGUCCCCCUCCCCGUGACGCCUGCGCCACACGACUCCAAUGUAGUCUGAUGAUGCAGCAUAAUGGCGGCGCUUGGCAGCUAUGGCGGCGGUGACGGCGAUGUCGUGCGACAGAGCGUGAAGCAAGAGUGGCAUCCACCUCACUGAGGAAGGCGUCAGUGUGUUCCCCCUUUGUUGUUUGACUUUGUUUGUUCUACUCUUUAUUGAUUUAUCUUUUAUGUUUAUAGUUUACAAUCUAUUUUUUGUAGUUGUUAUUUUUUAAUUGUUUUGUUGAAUAAAAAGACAGUUGUUAGUGCUCCUGUGAUUGGUGUAACUUAAUGUGCUUCACACAUGUAGCUUUUCAUUAUGUCUAUUGAGGUAAAUUUUUUGCCCUUAGAUGUGGUCACUUCGUUAUUCCUCACAUUACAUCUGUUAAGGCCAUACCUUUGGGUCCCAGUCUUCAUAGUUCCCCAAAUCUUAUUUUGGCUCUUA
ensembl:lncRNA